rnacentral:rRNA from 1 species
AUUGAACGCUGGCGGAAUGCUUUACACAUGCAAGUCGAACGGUAGAGGGGGCAACCCCUCGAGAGUGGCGAACGGGUGAGUAAUAUAUCGGAUCGUGCCCAGUCGUGGGGGAUAACGUAGCGAAAGUUACGCUAAUACCGCAUACGAUCUAAGGAUGAAAGCGGGGGAUCGCAAGACCUCGCGCGAUUGGAGCGGCCGAUAUCAGAUUAGGUAGUUUGUGGGGUAAAGGCUCACCAAGCCAACGAUCUGUAGCUGGUCUGAGAGGACGACCAGCCACACUGGAACUGAGACACGGUCCAGACUCCUACGGGAGGCAGCAGUGGGGAAUUUUGGACAAUGGACGCAAGUCUGAUCCAGCCAUUCCGCGUGCAGGAUGAAGGCCCUCGGGUUGUAAACUGCUUUUGUACGGAACGAAAAGGUCUCUCUUAAUACGGGGGGCUCAUGACGGUACCGUAAGAAUAAGCACCGGCUAACUACGUGCCAGCCGCCGCAGUAA